rnacentral:rRNA from 1 species
AACGAACGCUGGCGGCAUGCCUAACACAUGCAAGUCAAACGAGACCUUCGGGUCUAGUGGCGCACGGGUGCGUAACGCGUGGGAACCUGCCCUUAGGUUCGGAAUAACUCCCCGAAAGGGGUGCUAAUACCGGAUAAUGUCUUCGGACCAAGGAUUUAUCGCCUUUGGAUGGGCCCGCGUUGGAUUAGCUAGUUGGUAGGGUAAAAGCCUACCAAGGCGACGAUCCAUAGCUGGUCUGAGAGGAUGAUCAGCCACACUGGGACUGAGACACGGCCCAGACUCCUACGGGAGGCAGCAGUGGGGAAUAUUGGACAAUGGGCGAAAGCCUGAUCCAGCAAUGCCGCGUGAGUGAUGAAGGCCUUAGGGUUGUAAAGCUCUUUUACCCGGGAUGAUAAUGACAGUACCGGGAGAAUAAGCUCCGGCUAACCCCGUG